AGCGAACGCUGGCGGCAGGCCUAACACAUGCAAGUCGAACGAACUCUUCGGAGUUAGUGGCGGACGGGUGAGUAACACGUGGGAACGUUCCUUUUGGUUCGGAAUAACUCAGGGAAACUUGUGCUAAUACCGAAUGUGCCCUUCGGGGGAAAGAUUUAUCGCCAUUAGAGCGGCCCGCGUCUGAUUAGCUAGUUGGUGAGGUAACGGCUCACCAAGGCGACGAUCAGUAGCUGGUCUGAGAGGAUGACCAGCCACACUGGGACUGAGACACGGCCCAGACUCCUACGGGAGGCAGCAGUGGGGAAUCUUGCGAAAUGGGCGAAAGCCUGACGCAGCCAUGCCGCGUGAAUGAUGAAGGUCUUAGGAUUGUAAAAUUCUUUAACCGGGGACGAUAAUGACGGUACCCGGAGAAGAAGCCCCGGCUAACUUCGUG
rnacentral:rRNA from 1 species